CCUGGCUCAGAUCGAAUGCUGACGGCGUGGAUGAGGCAUGCAAGUCGCACGAUAUGGGGGCAACUCCAUAUAGUGGCGCAAGGGUUAGUAAUACAUAGAUAAUCUACCCCUGACCUGGGAAUAACGGGCUGGAAACGGCCGCUAAUACCGAAUGAGGUGGGAUAAGGCAUCUUAUCUUUAUCAAUGCGGGGGACCGAAAGACCUCGUGGUUAGGGAAGAGUCUAUGGGAUAUCAGCUAGUUGGUGAGGUAAUGGCUCACCAAGGCUAAGACGUCUAGGCGGAUUGAGAGAUUGACCGCCAACACUGGGACUGGGACACUGCCCAGACUCCUACGGGAGGCUGCAGUCGAGAAUCUUUCGCAAUGGGCGCAAGCCUGACGAAGCGACGCCGUGUGAGCGAAGAAGGCCUUCGGGUUGUAAAGCUCUUUCGCUAGGGAACAAGAGAUAUAGGAUAAUACCCUAUAAAUUUGAUGGUACUUGGUAAAGAAGCACCGGCUAACUCCGUGCCAGCCGCCGC
rnacentral:rRNA from 1 species